rnacentral:lncRNA from 1 species
AUUUGUUUUGUCAGCACAAGAAAACCAAUGUCUUUUCCCGCUCCUCCUUGAAUUUCAUUUUACUUUGAUUCCUUCUUCGUCUCGAAACUAGAGGGGCAAAGUUUGUGUCUCUUCGUAUCUGUUUUGUCAAGAAAACUUCGUACAAAAGUGAAAAUUUUACGUUCUUGUUAGAUAUAUAUAAAGAUGGAGGAUGCAGCAGAGAGUAGAGUACGGAAAGUGAAAGAGAAUGAAAAGGGGAAAGGGGUUGUGGUAUUGGUGAUGGACACCCCGGAUAGGAGCAAAAACAAUCAGACCACAACCUCCACAAACAAAUUCGAGGUGUGAUUUGCAUAUUUUUUUCUACUUAUGUAUAAUGGGUGGUGAUUUGACCUUUAUUUGGGUUAAUGGAUGUCGGGCAUGAAGUGUUUUUCUUCUAUCAAACCUUUGUUCUUCUUCCUUUCUUUUCUUUUCUUUUUGUCCCCUCGAGUUGGGUUAUUGUUUCUUCUAUCAAACCUUUGUUCUUCUUCCUUUUUUUUUUCUUUUCUUUUUGUCCCCUCGAGUUGGGUUAUUGAUACUUGAUUAGUGUUCCUUUUUUUCCCCUGCUCGCUGGAUAGGGUUCGGAAUAUGGGUUUUUAAUAAUUUGGUUGAUGGUUUAGUUAUUUUGAGGGCUUUCUUUUGUUCGGGAGUUGUGGUUAUGUUGAUAUACCUUUGUUUUGUUGUGAUUCUUAAUGAAAAAAAUUGGAAAGAGGGUUUUCAAUUAAUUGGUGAAAAUUUGUUUCUCUAAAGGGUGUUCUGAGUUAUAGUUCUGUUUUAUUAGUCAUUGAUUUGUGGUAGAAAUUAUCGGAAAAAUGUUCUCUCAAUGGAGUUUUGUCUGGAGG